rnacentral:rRNA from 1 species
AUUGAACGCUGGCGGCAGGCCUAACACAUGCAAGUCGAGCGGAUGAAGGGAGCUUGCUCCUGGAUUCAGCGGCGGACGGGUGAGUAAUGCCUAGGAAUCUGCCUGGUAGUGGGGGAUAACGUCCGGAAACGGGCGCUAAUACCGCAUACGUCCUGAGGGAGAAAGUGGGGGAUCUUCGGACCUCACGCUAUCAGAUGAGCCUAGGUCGGAUUAGCUAGUUGGUGGGGUAAAGGCCUACCAAGGCGACGAUCCGUAACUGGUCUGAGAGGAUGAUCAGUCACACUGGAACUGAGACACGGCCCAGACUCCUACGGGAGGCAGCAGUGGGGAAUAUUGGACAAUGGGCGAAAGCCUGAUCCAGCCAUGCCGCGUGUAUGAAGAAGGUCUUCGGAUUGUAAAGCACUUUAAGUUGGGAGGAAGGGCAGUAAGUUAAUACCUUGCUGAUUUGACGUUACCAACAGAAUAAGCACCGGCUAACUUCGUG